rnacentral:rRNA from 1 species
AAAGCGUGCGCAGGCGGUUUUGUAAGACUGUCGUGAAAUCCCCGGGCUUAACCUGGGAAUGGCGAUGGUGACUGCAAGGCUAGAGUUUGGCAGAGGGGGGUAGAAUUCCACGUGUAGCAGUGAAAUGCGUAGAGAUGUGGAGGAACACCGAUGGCGAAGGCAGCCCCCUGGGUCAAAACUGACGCUCAUGCACGAAAGCGUGGGGAGCAAACAGGAUUAGAUACCCUAGU